rnacentral:rRNA from 1 species
UACGUAGGGCGCAAGCGUUGUCCGGAAUUAUUGGGCGUAAAGAGCUCGUAGGCGGUCUGUCGCGUCUGGUGUGAAAACUCGAGGCUCAACCUCGAGCUUGCAUCGGGUACGGGCAGACUAGAGUGCGGUAGGGGAGACUGGAAUUCCUGGUGUAGCGGUGGAAUGCGCAGAUAUCAGGAGGAACACCGAUGGCGAAGGCAGGUCUCUGGGCCGCAACUGACGCUGAGGAGCGAAAGCAUGGGGAGCGAACAGGAUUAGAAACCCGCGUAGUCC